ACUCCUACGGGAGGCAGCAGUGGGGAAUAUUGCACAAUGGGCGCAAGCCUGAUGCAGCCAUGCCGCGUGUGUGAAGAAGGCCUUCGGGUUGUAAAGCACUUUCAGUCGUGAGGAAGGUAGUGUAGUUAAUAGCUGCUAUUAUUUGACGUUAGCGACAGAAGAAGCACCGGCUAACUCCGUGCCAGCAGCCGCGGUAAUACGGAGGGUGCGAGCGUUAAUCGGAAUUACUGGGCGUAAAGCGCAUGCAGGUGGUUUGUUAAGUCAGAUGUGAAAGCCCGGGGCUCAACCUCGGAAUAGCAUUUGAAACUGGCAGACUAGAGUACUGGUAGAGGGGGUUAGAAUUUCAGGUGUAGCGGUGAAAUGCGUAGAGAUCGUGAAGG
rnacentral:rRNA from 1 species